rnacentral:rRNA from 1 species
AUGCAGCGCUGGCCAUGGCGGAUGCUGCGGUGCAACGUUUGGCAGCGAUGGGUGCUGCGACGCAGCACGGCGUCCAUGGCGGAAACUCCAAGACAGCACGCGACGACGGCGAAAGCUGCGAUGCAGCACCGGCGGCCAUGGAGGAUGCUCAGAAGAAACGUUGCCGGAGACAGGUGGUGCGACGCAGCGCGAGAUGACGCCGGCGGCCAUGGCGAAAGCUGCAAUGCAGCGCCGGUGGCCAUGGCGAAAGCUGUGAUGCAGCGCCGACGGCCAUGGCGAAAGGCUGCGAUGCAACACGGGAUGUGCGCGGGGCGGCGCCGUCGCCUACGGCGGGUGCUGCGAUGCAGCUCGACGGCGACGGGAGCUGCGAUGCAAGGCGACGGCAGAUUGCAGCGGCAACGGGUGACGAAGGGAAUGAGAUGCGUGUGUGGUUGA